GGCCGGACGUGGCGUCAGGGGGCGGCCCGGGGCGGGCGCGGCCCUCCCGGAAGCGCGGGCGGCAUGGAGCCGGCGGCCGAGCAGCAGCAGCAGCUCCGCAGCUGGGAUUCGCCUCCUCUGAGUUGUGCUGCACCUACAGAAAGCUUCAUGUAUGUCGACCGUGCACCAGACAGCACCAGCCCAAGGAGCGCCACAGCUGAGCGCCACCCAGCCUGGGGUGCAGCCUCCUCCAGGGUUGGUUUCCCAGCUGGCAUCUGAAGGGGAAAUUUGGGAGGGUGUUCAUGCAGGGAUGUGUGGAAGCAGUGUCUGCUCCUCUAGGGGUAUUCGGGCACAGGCCGUUUUCAAGGCCAUGCUGGACAACGGGAAAGGGAAGAAGCCAUGAACAAGAACAUACAGGACAUCAGCCCUGACCAGCAAAUGAUAAGGAAGGCGGUGAUGGGAACCAGACCUGGGCAGUCACACUAAUUGAAGCUGAUUUUCUACCCAAAGGUGAGCUGUCCAGUAAGCUGUCUGAGAUGCUGCCCUGUGCGGUGCUGAGCAGCAAAGCCUGUGUUGCUGUGCCACGUCAGUGCUGCAUCUGCUGCCCAGUACUGUUGUGCACAGUGUCCAGCAGCUGCAGUCUUGUGCUGCAGGCUCAGCAGCGACUGGAGCAUGGAGCUGGAGAAGGAUGUGGAGGACAAGGAGCUGCUGACUCCUGAGUUGCAACCCCCAGAAAUGGGCUGGUGGCCUGGGGCCUGUCCCAGAAGGACUGCAGCAGGUGCUGGCUGCCAGUGCAAGGCUGGGGGCAGCGCUGCCACAGCAAACAGGAUGCACCCUUCAUGCACAGAGGGCACUAGAACGGGGCUGAAGAGAGCAGCAGGACUGGAGUCCCACAGCAGAGCCCGGCAGGCUCCCGCAGCCACAUUUUUGUUGAAGUACUACAGCAAGGACUGUGGCAUGUCCUUUAAAAGGUUUCCUUACUGCACAGCACUCUGAGGAAGGUAAGCUUGGAAGAGGAGACAACGUUGCCCUUCCUGCUGGUCAAAAAGCAGACCAAGGACUGGAAAAAAAGAAAACAUCUUGGAGGACAAACCAGAACAUUGUUGCAGUCCAUUCAUUGACCUGGAAGAGGGUCAGAGAGCAGCAGCAAGGGUGGUAAACACCCUAGCACAAGCAAGCAGGAUGCAAAGACUUGGCUGGAAAAGAUGCUUGUUCUGUUCCUGCCCCGGAUUCCUGGUCUGACCCACAGCCGAAUGGGGCAGCACUUGCUUCUUCAGUCAGUCCCAGAGCAAGGCUUUAACAAAAACUGCUUUGUGCAAAGCAAAUUACAUAGGCCUCUUUAUUUCAAAGAAUUGUUAUAUUCCAGUGAGCGUUUAGCAUCCUUCUAAGUUUCUUGUUCUUCUUUGCUUGCCAAGAAUAUACAGUUUCACAAUCAAACAAGCUGAAAAAAAAAAUCCCAAGUUUCUCGUGUCUGAAAAUUUCCUCCUGCAUAAUUUUAAUGCAGGUUCUC